rnacentral:rRNA from 1 species
AUUACUGAUACAGAAGCAAAGUGUUUCAAGGCACAUAAAUCCAAUGAUGAGAGUGGUAGUUUCAGAAAAGAUGCUGAAGCUGAUUCAAGAAAUGCUACUAAGGCUGUUGAUCAAAAUCCUCCACCACAAAAGCAAGGUUUCAUCCAUGUGAGGGCAAGAAGGGAUCAAGCAACUGACAGCCAUAGCCUUGCAGAAAGGGCACGGCGUGAGAAAACAACCAAGCGGAUGAAAAUUCUCCAAGACCCUGUCCCUGGAUGUAAUAAAGUAUCGCACCCUUUGGAAAAAAAUUCAGGGAGGUAUUUGGGUCCAAUU